GAUUGUGGAACCAUACUUUUUAUCACAUUGGUUCAUACACAGAACAACUGUUCCAGAUAAACUUAAGCCAUUAUUUCCAACAAGAGGGAAAUAAAACAUCCAAGCAGAGGCAAAGGAUAAUCACCCCGGAGAAGGUCAUGACUCUCCUAGAACUGAAGGUGCAGAUGAUUGUCAAUUGCAAUGUAGGUGCUUGGAAUUGAACCCAGGUCCUCUGGAAGAGAAUCCAGUGCUCUGAACCACUGAGUCAUCUCUCCAGCCCCAGGUUAUCAACUGCUAACUUGCUAAAGGCAGCGGAGAUGACUAAAGCAUUUUAAGCCAGGCUUUAGAACAAAGUUGUUCCUGUAACAGUGUGGAGACUGUUCUAUGAUGACUCUCAUGUACCAUGUGUGAAGAGGGACCAGCUAGGGAACACAGACACACCAACACCUCAUCCAGAUUUCUCCAGUCCUUUGAUCUUGUUCCAGACAGCAAAGAGAUGAAUUUCACCUGUGGGUAAAAGCUUACACAAGAAUAAACAAACAUCAGUGCUGUAGUUUCUGCCUGUAUAACAGGAAUAUGGCUUUGUACUUCCUGGAAGAACAUGGAUCCUAGUGAGGAGGAAACAGAAGCCUACAUAUUCCACUGUGUUGAUCAUCAUCUGAAAGCUACA